rnacentral:lncRNA from 1 species
AAUGUUUAAUUGAGGCAUCAUAUAUCCAGUGCCUUAAAUGCAACCUGACACAAAAGAAGUUCAAAGAAUUACUUCGUGCCUUUAACGACAGGUAUAUUUCUUCUAACCAAUAAUGUACCUUAUUUUUGAAGGAUGUUCUUACUCUUUUUCUAGGAUUACUCAAGGGAAGCUAAGUAAAUAAAAAACAUUUCCCCUUGAGAGGAAUCAGAUAUGAGAAUUUUCUUAUUUAUGUGUUAAUAGAAUUAGCCUGUAACUCAGAGUGUGAGGUUCUCUCAGGUUCCUUUUCUUUACUUGCUAUAGAAAUAGCUAGAAAGAAAAAUAAUAGAAGAGAAAAAUAGGAAGGAGCAAGUAUGCCUUGCCAGAAUCCUCUUCUCUCACUUUAUGCUGAGCUAGUUGACAACUACCUUGUUCUUUCCCUUUGCUUCCACAGCAUUGCAAGAUCUCACUGAAGCAUUUGAUCUCAUUGUAUGCACUCCAGUUUGCAUAUUGGUCCUUACAAACCUAUUAGCAUCCUGGGAGCAGGUGAAAUUUUUACCUAUGGCAUAUACCAUUUCCCAGGAUGAUGUGUUAAGAACUGGAGAGCUAUCCCAAGAACACAUUGCCUUGGUCUUCUGGACAAAGAAUUAA